GCCUUAAAGUACUGUAGCAGCACAUCAUGUUUACAUACUACAGUCAGAUGCGAUCAUUAUUUGCUGCUUUAGAAAUUUAGGGA
rnacentral:pre_miRNA from 12 species